GGGAUGACACAGUAGGAUAAGCUAAGCACACUGUUGGUUAUGUGUGCCCAAGCAUUGAGGCAGUCAAAGUAGGCAAAUCCGCUUUGAUAAUGCUGGGAUGUGAUGGGGAGCGAAAUUUAGUAGCGAAGUAGCUGAUUUCACACUGUCAAGAAAAGUCUCUAUCGAGGUUAAAGGUACCCGUACCGCAAACCGACACAGGUGGGUGAGGAGAGUAUCCUAAGGC
rnacentral:rRNA from 1 species